GACAAGGUGGCUGAAUGGAAAAGCAGCAGUCUGCAAAACUGUUUUUUACGAGUUCGAACCUCGUCCUUGUCU
rnacentral:tRNA from 1 species